rnacentral:rRNA from 1 species
CCUACGGGGGGCAGCAGUGAGGAAUAUUGGUCAAUGGACGAGAGUCUGAACCAGCCAAGUAGCGUGAAGGAUGACUGCCCUAUGGGUUGUAAACUUCUUUUAUAUGGGAAUAAAAUGUUCCACGUGUGGGGUUUUGUAUGUACCAUAUGAAUAAGGAUCGGCUAACUCCGUGCCAGCAGCCGCGGUAAUACGGAGGAUCCGAGCGUUAUCCGGAUUUAUUGGGUUUAAAGGGAGCGUAGGUGGAUUGUUAAGUCAGUUGUGAAAUUUUGCGGCUCAACCGUAAAAUUGCAGUUGAAACUGGCGGUCUUGAGUACAGGAGAGGUAGGCGGAAUUCGUGGUGUAGCGGUGAAAUGCUUAGAUAUCACGAAGAACUCCGAUUGCGAAGGCAGUUCACUGGACUGCAACUGACGCUGAGGCUCGAAAGUGUGGGUAUCAAACAGGAUUAGAUACCCGAGUAGUC